rnacentral:rRNA from 1 species
UGGGGAAUCUUGCGCAAUGGGCGAAAGCCUGACGCAGCCAUGCCGCGUGAGUGAUGAAGGCCUUAGGGUUGUAAAACUCUUUCACCGGGGACGAUAAUGACGGUACCCGGAGAAGAAGCCCCGGCUAACUUCGUGCCAGCAGCCGCGGUAAUACGAAGGGGGCUAGCGUUGCUCGGAAUUACUGGGCGUAAAGGGCGCGUAGGCGGAUCAGCAAGUUGGGGGUGAAAGCCCGGGGCUCAACCUCGGAAUUGCCUUCAAAACUGCUGAUCUAGAGUACGGGAGAGGUGUGUGGAACUCCGAGUGUAGAGGUGAAAUUCGUAGAUAUUCGGAAGAACACCAGUGGCGAAGGCGACACACUGGCCCGUUACUGACGCUGAGGCGCGAAAGCGUGGGGAGCAAACAGGAUUAGAUACCCUGGUAGUCCACGCUGUAAACGAUGAUUGCUAGUUGUCGGCAGGCAUGCCUGUCGGUGACGCAGCUAAUGCAUUAAGCAAUCCGCCUGGGGGAGUACGGUCGCAAGAUUAAAACUCAAAUGAAUUGACGGGGUCAUAGCUGUUUCCU